CCUACGGGUGGCAGCAGUGAGGAAUAUUGGUCAAUGGGCGCGAGCCUGAACCAGCAAUGCCGCGUGAAUGAAGAAGGUCUUAGGAUUGUAAAAUUCUGUCCUAUGGGAAGAAAAAAAUGACGGUACCAUAGGAGGAAGCCCCGGCUAACUACGUGCCAGCAGCCGCGGUAAUACGUAGGGGGCGAGCGUUGUCCGGAAUUACUGGGCGUAAAGAGAGCGUAGGCGGCACUACAAGUCUCAUGUGAAAUACCCGGGCUUAACUUGGGGGUUGCAUGGGAAACUGUAGAGCUUGAGUACAGUAGAGGUGGGCGGAAUUCGUGGUGUAGCGGUGAAAUGCUUAGAGAUCACGAAGAACUCCGAUUGCGAAGGCAGUUCACUGGACUGCAACUGACACUGAGGCUCGAAAGUGUGGGUAUCAAACAGGAUUAGAUACCCGGGUAGUC
rnacentral:rRNA from 1 species